rnacentral:rRNA from 1 species
AUUGAACGCUGGCGGAAUGCUUUACACAUGCAAGUCGAACGGCAGCACGGACUUCGGUCUGGUGGCGAGUGGCGAACGGGUGAGUAACAUAUCGGAACGUAUCCAAUAAUGGGGGAUAACGAGUCGAAAGAUUCGCUAAUACCGCAUACGCCCUACGGGGGAAAGCUAGGGACCUUCGGGCCUGGCGUUAAUGGAGCGGCCGAUAUCUGAUUAGCUAGUUGGUGAGGUAAAGGCUCACCAAGGCGACGAUCAGUAGCUGGUCUGAGAGGACGACCAGCCACACUGGAACUGAGACACGGUCCAGACUCCUACGGGAGGCAGCAGUGGGGAAUUUUGGACAAUGGGGGCAACCCUGAUCCAGCCAUUCCGCGUGAGUGAAGAAGGCCUUCGGGUUGUAAAGCUCUUUCGCAAGGGAAGAAAACUUAGUCUCUAACAUAGACUGAGGCUGACGGUACCUUGAUAAGAAGCACCGGCUAACUACGUGCCAGCAGCCGCGGUAACAC